AUGUGCGUCCCUCCCGAAGCUGCACGCUCGGUCGAAGAGGACGACCUUCCCCGAAUAGAGGAGGACCGGUCUUCGGUCAAGGGUAUACGAGUAGCUGCGCUCCCCUGCUAGAACCUCCAAACAAGCUCUCAAAUUGUAUGCCAGCCUGUACAGUAACAAAAACAGCAUGGUACUGGAACACAAAACAGAUAUGCAGCUUGGCAUGGUGACACAUGCCUUUAAUC
rnacentral:sRNA from 1 species